rnacentral:lncRNA from 1 species
CAACUACGAGUUGAACUGGGACUCAGUCUAUGUGCCUUCGACAUCAAAAAAUUACAAAGGUUCAACUACGAUUGAACAACAACUCAGGCUACGUGCCCACGCCCAAAAGUUCAACUACGAGUUGAACUAGGACUCAGGCCAAGUACCUUCGCCAUUAAGAAAUACAAAAGGUUCAACUACGGUUGAACAACAACUCAGGCUACGUGCUCUCGCCCAAAAGUUCAACUACGAGUUGAACUGGGACUCAGGCCAAGUGCCUUUGCCAUUAAUAAAUACAAAAGGUUUAACUCAACUCGGGCUACGUGCCCUCGCCCAAAAGUUCAACUAUGAGUUGAACUGGGACUCAGCCCAAGUGCCUUCGCCAUUAAGAAAUACAAAAGUUUCAACUACAGUUGAUCAACAACUCAGGCUACGUGCCCUCGCCCAAAAGUUUAACUACAAGUUGAACUGGGACUCAGGCCAAGUGCCUUCGCCAUUAAAAAAUACAAAAGGUUCAACUACGGUUGUACAACAACUCAGGCUACGUGCCCUCGCCCAAAAGUUCAACUACGAGUUGAACUGGGACUCAGGAAAAGUUCAACUACGGUUUAACGACAACUCAGGCUACGUGCCCUCGCCCAAAAAUUCAACUCGAGUUGAACUGGGACUCAGGCUAUGUGCCUUCAACAUCAAAAAUUACAAAGGGGUCAACUACGAUUGAACGGCAACUCAGGCUACGUGUCCUCGCCCAAAAGUUCAACUACGAGUUGAACUAGGACUCAGGCCAAGCGCCUUCGCCAUUAAGAAAUACAAAAGGUUCAACUACGG